rnacentral:lncRNA from 1 species
CACAGACGCACACACCCACACUAACUCCACAGAUGCCCCUCAACACGCACCUCUCUCUUUCUCGCUCUCUAUGUCUCCCUCUUUCUCCCCCAUUCGCCCUGCUUCAUCCUCCUGAGGCGCAAACCCAGCCCUGACACAACCAUGACAGACAAACCUGAGGGCAGGCUCGGCAACCCCUUCUUGCUCUGGCUGGCACAUUGCUUUUUCCUACUCCUUUCUCAAGUCCUUCUAUGUAAUUCCUCCCUCCUCAAAGGGACCUUGAGCACUUGCAUCACUGAAAUGAGAUGAUCUGAAUGUGAGCUGUCAUAUUAAGGAGAAAAAUGUCACCACGCUCAGUACACAGCUGAAGAACAGGCAGCAAGUGGGAAUUGGCUAAAUUAGCUUAACAGACUGCUUUUUCUAUUGCUUCAUUCCUGCAUUUGGUGUGAGAACAGAAUGACUGGGUGAAGGUGGAAAACCUUCUGGAAACCUUCUGGGAAUGACAAAAAUAUGCAAAAGCAUGAAAAGAGAGCAUGGAGGAAGAUUGCAAGUAGCUCUGGAAGAAGCUGGUAAGAAGUGUUUGUCUGAAAGAAGACAAACACUUAAGAUUAUUGUGCUAUAUCCUCAUAUGCCACAUUGUCGCCCAAAUAAGAGCAUCAUCGGACUUCAUUUUUCAGCCUCCACGUGGCCAGUGGUGACUUUCGGACUUCUGCAUAAAAAACGUUCCGCAAACACAAAACAUGGUUCAGCCUGCACUGUCAUGGUUGCCAGGCUCUGGAAAGCUCCUCUGGUUGUUUGACUAACUGAAAAUCUCAAGUGCCAAGAUGAUAGUGAUGAAAAGCGUGAAGACCCUGGCACACUUAAACAAGCAGCUGAAAACUGUCUGGAGUCCAUCAGCAGUGCCAGCACGACUCUGCAGCCUGGCCACCUGCGCUCGCAAAACCAGGAAUGAUGCACGUAAGUGUAUUUCAUUGUAUUAAAACAGUACUGAUACCUGUAUAAGUGAGAUGCAAAAAGGUACAAAGACAAGUAUAGCUAAGUGUUAUUCUCACUUCUUUCUUAUUUGUCAGCUAAAAUCAAAAGAGGGAAUUUCAGAAUGUGACUGAAAUAGAAUGAGAGAAACUAGAGAUAGAAAUGCCGUACUGAAUCAUAUAAGCUCUCUACAUGUGCAGCAUUAAAACAUAAUUCUUCAAUAUUUCUGCAG